CAUUUGGUCACUAGGCAAUGUGGUGUUCAGGUCGUUCCGCAGAGGUACUGCUCCACCCUAAGUCCAACAAUGAGUACGGUAGUACGGACAUGGCCCACAGAGGGUGAAAGGCCCGUGGGGGUGGAGAUCAGGCAGGCCAGUGCCUCUCUGGGUAGACCUUGGAGUCGGGUUGUUUGUGAAUGCAGCCCAAAGUGGGUGGUAAACUCCAUCCAAGGCUAAAUACAAGCACGAGUCCGAUAGCGAACAAGUACCGUGAGGGAAAGUUGAAAAGUACUUUGAAGAGAGAGUAAACAGUGCGUGAAACCGCUCAGAGGUAAGCGGGUGGAGUUGAACUGCAAGCUCUGGGGAUUCAGCUGGUGAGUGUGGUUUGAGCUUGGUCAAAUUGGUUGGACUCCGGGGUCUGUGUAGCAGCAGGUCUCUGCCCUCGGGUGGGGAUGCGCGAUGCACUUAUCAAGUGUUGUGCGCCUCGGGUGUUCUUCGGGCCAACUCGCCGGUGCACUUUCUCAGAGUGGUCACCACGACCGGCACUGCUGUCUGGCUGUUGUGGUUAAACCGGACUUGCAUUGGCCUCGUGUCUUUGCUUGGUCGGGAUGGCAGGUAGCUCGUUGGCUUGUCUGUGGCUUGCUGCAGGCGUCGGCUUUCGGGUGUAAUCAGCUGACUGCAAUUGUCCUGUGCAGUGUGUCGGAGACGGCGGCUUGUGGUGUGUGCAUGCGUGCCUGGUUGCUGGCGUGCUCGGGUUUGGUCGCUAUGUUGCUUGUUCAAGCAAGCCUGGUGAUGGCUCGGGUUCGUUUGGCGGCCAGUUGCGUGUGUGGCACUAUUUCCAGGGCCAACAGUCUGUGGUGUAGUGGUAGACGUUCCACCUGACCCGUCUUGAAACACGGACCAAGGAGAGUAACAUGUGCGCGAGUCAUUGGGCGUAACGAAACCCACAGGCGCAGUGAAAGUAAAGGUUUGGCUUGUCCAGACUGAGGUGAGAUCCUGCUGUGUCUCACGCGCGGU
rnacentral:rRNA from 1 species